GAUGAACGCUAGCUACAGGCUUAACACAUGCAAGUCGAGGGGCAGCAUCAUCAAAGCUUGCUUUGAUGGAUGGCGACCGGCGCACGGGUGAGUAACACGUAUCCAACCUGCCGACAACACUGGGAUAGCCUUUCGAAAGAAAGAUUAAUACCGGAUGGCAUAGUUUUCCCGCAUGGGAUAAUUAUUAAAGAAUUUCGGUUGUCGAUGGGGAUGCGUUCCAUUAGGCAGUUGCGGGUAACGGCCACAACCAACGAUGGAUAGGGGUUCUGAGAGGAAGGUCCCCCACAUUGGAACUGAGACACGGUCCAAACUCCUACGGGAGCAGCAGUGAGGAAUAUGGUCAAUGGACGAGAGUUCUGAAACCAGCCAAGUAGCGUGAAGGAUGACUGCCCGUAU
rnacentral:rRNA from 1 species